GACGAACGCUGGCGGCGUGCUUAACACAUGCAAGUCGAGCGGUAAGGCCCUUUCGGGGGUACACGAGCGGCGAACGGGUGAGUAACACGUGGGUGACCUGCCCUUAGCUCUGGGAUAAGCCUGGGAAACUGGGUCUAAUACCGGAUAUGACUCCAUGACGCAUGUUGUGGGGUGGAAAGCCUUGUGCGGCUAGGGAUGGGCCCGCGGCCUAUCAGCUUGUUGGUGGGGUGAUGGCCUACCAAGGCGACGACGGGUAGCCGGCCUGAGAGGGCGACCGGCCACACUGGGACUGAGACACGGCCCAGACUCCUACGGGAGGCAGCAGUAGGGAAUCUUCCGCAAUGGACGAAAGUCUGACGGAGCAACGCCGCGUGAACGAUGAAGGCUUUCGGGUCGUAAGUU
rnacentral:rRNA from 1 species